GAAACUCUAUCUGUCUGGGCACAGAUGUCUGCCUCCCUGGCAGGCUCCUGUUCACCCUGCUGUGGCCUACCAUUCUCAGGAUGCAGAGGCAAAGGGUGGUGGAUUUCUGUAGAUGACUGUUUUAAAACAGCGAGAGCAGGAGGGCUCUGUGCUGCUCUCUGGAACUUUCUGCAGCUAAGGAGGACAGCAUCGGGCAGACGAAACUGACUGUUUGCAUCUAUGAAGAACUAAGUUAAAGACAAAGUUUCCAUGUGAUAGCACCCUUGAAGAAAGAAGAGAGAGAACCAGAGCUCGGGGCUUCCCAUGCCCAGGUCAUUGGUACCAUGACUCUGACUACAGCUCCUGGACACAGAGAAAGAGGUAGGAGAGAGGUAUGAGAAGGACCCAGGGCUUUACAGUCAAGGCAGGGCUUGAGACAUUCUCGGAAGGAUGGGGACAGGCGAGCUACUGUACACAGCAAAUGAGAUGAAAGGCAAGAAGAUUCCAGGAAUGAACACACAGAGUUUCUGAAAUGCCCCGGCGCAAGGGCCCACAGUGGGGCUCAGAGGAGGGGGAGAUGAAAUGGUCCCUGAAUGAAGCCCUUCCUCUGUGAUCCAGAAACCUCUGCUGGCCUUCACC
rnacentral:lncRNA from 1 species